rnacentral:rRNA from 1 species
UACGGAGGAUGCAGGCGUUAUCCGGAAUGAUUGGGCGUAAAGCGUCCGCAGGUGGCUAUGUAAGUCUGCUGUUAAAGAGUGAGGCUCAACCUCAUAAAAGCAGUGGAAACUACAUGGCUAGAGUGCGUUCGGGGCAGAGGGAAUUCCUGGUGUAGCGGUGAAAUGCGUAGAUAUCAGGAAGAACACCGGUGGCGAAAGCGCUCUGCUAGGCCGCAACUGACACUGAGGGACGAAAGCUAGGGGAGCGAAUGGG